AGGGAGUUUGAUCCUGGCUCAGGACGAACGCUGGCGGCGUGCCUAACACAUGCAAGUCGAACGGAACUACUAGGAAGGAUCUCUUCGGAGAAACGGAAUUUUAGUUUAGUGGCGGACGGGUGAGUAACGCGUGAGUAACCUGCCUUUGAGAGGGGAAUAACGUUCUGAAAAGAACGCUAAUACCGCAUAACAUAUAUUGAUCGCAUGGUCGGUAUAUCAAAGAUUUUAUCGCUCAAAGAUGGACUCGCGUCCGAUUAGCUUGUUGGCGGGGUAACGGCCCACCAAGGCGACGAUCGGUAGCCGGACUGAGAGGUUGAACGGCCACAUUGGGACUGAGACACGGCCCAGACUCCUACGGGAGGCAGCAGUGGGGGAUAUUGCGCAAUGGGGGCAACCCUGACGCAGCAACGCCGCGUGAAGGAUGAAGGUUUUCGGAUUGUAAACUUCUUUUGUCAGGGACGAAAUUUGACGGUACCUGACGAAUAAGCUCCGGCUAACUACGUGCCAGCAGCCGCGGUAAUACGUAGGGAGCAAGCGUUGUCCGGAUUUACUGGGUGUAAAGGGUGCGUAGGCGGCUAAGCAAGUCAGAUGUGAAAUCUAUGGGCUCAACCCAUAAACUGCAUUUGAAACUGCAUAGCUUGAGUGAAGUAGAGGCAGGCGGAAUUCCCCGUGUAGCGGUGAAAUGCGUAGAGAUGGGGAGGAACACCAGUGGCGAAGGCGGCCUGCUGGGCUUUAACUGACGCUGAGGCACGAAAGCGUGGGUAGCAAACAGGAAUAAAUACCCUGGUAGUCCCU
rnacentral:rRNA from 1 species